rnacentral:lncRNA from 10 species
CACUGGUGCUUUAAGACUCAGCUGGAGAUGAGUCGAGAAGAGGCCAAGAUCCAAGGAGUCUCCGGCGGACAGUGUGUCAGUAAGUCAAGCUCUUUGCAAGUCUGUAAUUAUUAAGACCUAGAGGUAAGUCAUGUCCCAAGAGCCCCUCUCUUCCCAGGGAGUAGGGCCAGGGUCCAUUUCAUCCAAUACAAAUAAUCGGGAGAGGCCAGGUUUUAAGGUUUCUCGUCCUCUGGGAUGAGUCAGCCUGAUGUCGGGGAACGGGGAUGGGAAAAGGAAAAAGCUCUGGCGGGUCAUGUCUGAUAUUCUCCACCCACCUCCCUAUGUAGGGGGAGAAGCUUCCUUUAAGGAAGAGUCCCCCUUAAUUUAUCUGUCGCUCAGAAUCUGAAGGCUCAGACAGCAGAUUUUCCCAGCUUGAGAUAUAUUUGCUUUGGAAAAUCAAGCAGUACAUGUAAUUAUUAGCACCUGUCUGCUCAUAUAAACAUGUAAAAGGCAUUGCCCCCUGGAUCCCCCCUCCCUCAAAACGAAUGAAAGGACCUGUUUAAAGGGGCGUAGGGAACAGCACAAAGUCCACAUUCCAUAUCCGCAAAUCACAACCAGGUUUAUUCCCAGGCGUGGCUGUUGGGGAGGGUGGGGGACAGAUCACAUUAUUUGCAAAAUCUUUGAGGCUUCUGGUAUUUUGUGUACUAUAUGUAAGAGAUUUUUUUUUUCAAUGUCAAGAUAUUUUACUACAUAAUAGAAACCAUUCUAAUAUUGACUGUAAUGAAAAGAUAAAGGUUACUGAUGAAAAAUACAGAAAUAUAAAUGAAAAUGUACGUUUAAGAAGUGGCUGGUUUUAAACCAACCCAGCAGUAAAAUUCAGUGAUUAGUAAAGCGACAUGAAUUUUUUUUUUUUUUUUUUUUUUUUUUUUGGAGAAGGGGUCUCACUCUGUUGCCCAAGCUGGAGUGCAGUGGUGUCUUGGCUCGCUGCAGCUUCCACCUCCCGGGUUCAAGCAAUCCUCCUGCUUCAACCUCCCGAGUAGCUGGGAUUACAGGUGUGCACCACCAUUCCUGGCUAAUUUUUGUAUUUUUAGUAGACACAGGGUUUCGCCAUGUUGGCCAGACUGGUCUCAAACUUCUGGCCUCAGGUGAUCCGCCCACAUCAGCCUCCAAAAGUGCUGGGAUUACAGGCAUGAGCCAUUGUGCCCAGCCUUAGCUUGUAAUUUCUGAGUGGAAUAAAAAGGCUAAACAAAGCAAAGACUGCUCUGUGGAGUGAAGAGAGAGGGUUUCAGAAAUGGCUGUGUCCUUUUUUUUUUUUUUUUUUUUUCCAAAUAUCUCUGCAAACUGAUGUUACACUGUGUUUCCGUCACCUUUCCUGUAAUUCUGAGAUUUUGAAAGAACACAGUAUAGAUGGGUGCCAUUUUCUUUUCAUUUUGCAACCCUCCGUUCUGUACGCUUUAAUCCCAAACAGAAAACACACCCGUUGAGCGUUCCGUUAGAUCAGUGGACUUGAUUUUUCUCAGCAUGUGAAGAUUUCAGUUUGGAAAUCUGUUCCAAAGAGGAAGGUCUCCAGAUUUGUGAUCCCUGGAGCUCUGUAUGACUCACAAAUGCGUAGUAGGUUAGGACUGAAUCUGCGGCUCUAGUGCCGAUGGCCUCCCGCCUCCAGGAUGUCCCCAAGGCGGGCUCCAGCGAGGCCGGCUCGCAGCCUUCCAUGCGGCUCUGUUUCCCAUCUGAGAGGGAGGCCCCAGGUGUGAAGAUCGGGCAAGGUGACAAUGCCAAAGCCCUUAGAACACUGCGAGAUGCCAAGAAACGGAGCGGCGGGCACACGCCCGGGCCUGGGCAUGGGAGACAGGCAGGCUCACAAUUCAGAGGUAUUGGGGUUUUUCAUCUCUCCAGAUGCUUACUCUAUUUAGAAUAAAUGAGUGGAGUCUAACUUUCCAUCAGCUCAUUAGCAGCUGUACAGAAGUAACAUUUUAUUAGACACGACCAACUAAAUCACUCGGCACCCAACUGAGAUGCCGGAAUUGAGCCCGUGAAGCCCGUAGGAGGGAGGCACCUGUUGCUGUUGGUUGAUACUCCCAGCCUGGGCCCCGACAGCGCCUCAGCUAGAAUUGGGGGUGUUAUCCGAGUGAAGUGGUUUCAUCAGGUGUGACUUUGCCUGCAGGCGUGACUUUGCCUGGAUGAAGCCAUCUUGCUACAGCAGUGCAGGUGUUCAACAGUUCUAGGCUGGCGGGGAAACAAACGCAGUCAUUUGGACUGAUGGCUUUAUCUUACCCUGGUGCUUUUCAAAAUCAUCUGUGGAGGAAGCAAUGCAUUCUUUUUUUUUUUUUUUUUUUUUUUUUUUUUGAGACAGAAUCUUGCUCUGUCGCCUGAGCUGGAGUGCAGUGGCGUGAUCUCGGCUCACUGCAAUCUCCGCCUCCCAGGUUCAAGCAUUUCUCCUGCCUCUGCCUCCCGAGUAGCUGGAAUUACAGGCACACCCCACAACACCCCUGGCUAAUUUUUGUAUUUUUAGUAGAGACAGGGUUUCACCAUGUUGGUCAGGAUGGUCUGGAGCACCUGACCUCAAGUGAUCUGCCCACCUCAGCCUCCCAAAGUGCUGGGAUUACAAGGUGUGAGCCACCCACCAUGCCCGGCCGGGAAUGCAUUCUUUUCAGUGUGUUGAGAAACCUGAUUGAUAAGGCAUUUUUUUUUAUUUAUUUCAAUAGAAGCUAAACACAGAGGGGUUACUGGUAUUUCUGGUAUUUUUAAGGAAUAACUGCAAAAACAUUUUCAGUUUGAUGCCUGGAGUCUCUGCUGGUUUUUUAGCUCAGAAGAAAGAUAUUACAUAGAUCCUGGCUUCAGGGCCAAUUUUGUAUACUUUUUAAUUAAAUAUAUUGAUUUUCUCUGGAAAGCAUUUCCAUCCCAAAUUGGACAUUAAGACUGUUGCCAAAAUGUUUACUUUUGUGUAUUAAUAAUAAAACGUUUAUAUGAAGAAAUAACCCAUCAUGAUGUUUAACUUCUUCCCUAAUUCGUGAGUAGAAUCCCUGCAGGUAAGAAUCUAUUAACAAGAUAUUAUUGAUGGUGUGUAAGAGGAGUUUCUUUUUUCUAGUUUCAGUACUUUCUAAAUUUCCUAUAAUGAACACAUCUUGCUCUCAUAGAGGGAAAAAAAAUCCAUGUCAUAGACAAAUUUUUUUUUAUUGAAGACCCUGUAGCUCAUAGUAAACAUGGAUUUAUGACUACAUAGAGAUAAAAAUCCACUUCAUGUAGUUAUUACCCCCCUUAGCAAAAUACAGGUAAUCCCCUGCCUUUUUUUUUACUUUUUAUUGAAAUUUUAAAAUAAACAUAGAGAAUGCCCAUGUCUGCAUCAUCCCCUUCCACAAUGAAGGGCAUUCACCAACCUUGUCUCUGCCCCUGUCCCUGCCCCUGCCCCUUGCUGGAGCAUGAAGCACACAAACAUGGUGGAGGAGGUUCAUCUGCAACCCCAUGUGCUCCUCCAGUAAUCUCACACAGUAACGGCCCCUCCUGCCUGUUCAGCCUCGACUUGGCUGACGAGGCAUCUGCUCCUCCUCCUGCCCAGCGCCUGGCCCUCGCCCACACCCCAGUGGGGCAUCUCAUGCCCUCGUGGGAACCCCGCAGUGUUUGUGCAGAUCUCAGCCAGGGUGCUGGGUGCUUUAGGACGGGAGAUCUGCUCCCUAACUGGUCUUGUGUGUAACAUGGCUCCCAAAUACAGACACGAGCGGAGUUAGCCACCAGCGCUCCCGAUGCUCAGGCCAGGACUUGGGCCCCGGGAGCCCACAGCCCC